GUCUCCGUAGCUCAGCUGGACAGAGCACAGGUUUCCUAAAUUCCACAAUUGGGCGCCGCGAUGGGAAACCGCGCGGCGGAUCCGCUCAAAUUCGGGGAAAGCUUCCGGCGCCGCGGCGCCCUGCCGAUCCCGAGCCAAGCCCAGGUCCCGCACGGAGCUUGGGAAGGUGUAGAGACUAGACGGGCGGCACCUAAAGGCCUCGCUCGGGCCCAGGGUGAAGGGAUAGUCCAGGCCACGAACGCGCGGACUGCGCGGCGGCGAAAGCCGAAGUGGUAUGAAACCUGGGGUCGCAGGUUCGAGCCCUGCCGGGGACGCCA
rnacentral:tRNA from 1 species